rnacentral:rRNA from 1 species
UACGUAGGGGGCGAGCGUUGUCCGGAGUUACUGGGCGUAAAGGGCAUGCAGGCGGUCGGACGCGUUUCGGGUGACAGCGGGUGGCUUAACUACCCGAGUGGUCGAAAGACGGUUUGACUUGAGGACGCGAGAGGGACACGGAAUUCCGGGUGGAGUGGUGAAAUGCGUAGAGAUCCGGAGGAACCCCAGAGGCGAAGGCGACGCCCUGGCUCGUACCUGACGCUCAGCCACGAAAGCAUGGGGAGCGAACGGG